AACGUAAACAACCUGCCUUCAGGAUGGGGACAACAGACGGAAACGACUGCUAAUACCGAAUAAGUUCCAAGGGCCGCAUGGCCCAUGGAAGAAAAGGUGGCCUCUACCUGUAAGCUAUCGCCUGAAGAGGGGUUUGCGUCUGAUUAGCUGGUUGGAGGGGUAACGGCCCACCAAGGCGAUGAUCAGUAGCCGGUCUGAGAGGAUGAACGGCCACAUUGGGACUGAGACACGGCCCAG
rnacentral:rRNA from 1 species